rnacentral:rRNA from 1 species
GACGAACGCUGGCGGCGUGCUUAACACAUGCAAGUCGAACGGAAAGGCCCUGCUUUUGUGGGGUGCUCGAGUGGCGAACGGGUGAGUAACACGUGAGUAACCUGCCCUUGACUUUGGGAUAACUUCAGGAAACUGGGGCUAAUACCGGAUAGGAGCUCCUGCUGCAUGGUGGGGGUUGGAAAGUUUCGGCGGUUGGGGAUGGACUCGCGGCUUAUCAGCUUGUUGGUGGGGUAGUGGCUUACCAAGGCUUUGACGGGUAGCCGGCCUGAGAGGGUGACCGGCCACAUUGGGACUGGGAUCCGGCCCAGACUCCUACGGGAGGGAGCAGUGGGGAAUAUUGCACAAUGGGCGGAAGCCUGGUGCAGCAACGCCGCGUGCGGGAUGACGGCCUUCGGGUUGUAAACCGCUUUCGCCUGUGACGAAGCGUGAGUGACGGUAAUGGGUAAAGAAGCACCGGCUAACUACGU